rnacentral:rRNA from 1 species
GAUGAACGCUGGCGGCGUGCUUAACACAUGCAAGUCGAACGGUGAACGAGGGAGCUUGCUCCCUCCGGAUCAGUGGCGAACGGGUGAGUAACACGUGAGCAAUCUGCCCUGGACUCUGGGAUAAGCGUUGGAAACGACGUCUAAUACCGGAUACGAGGCGUGGGGGCAUCCCCAACGCCUGGAAAGAACUUCGGUCCAGGAUGAGCUCGCGGCCUAUCAGGUAGUUGGUGAGGUAAUGGCUCACCAAGCCUACGACGGGUCGCCGGCCUGAGAGGGUGACCGGCCACACUGGGAGUGAGACACGGCCCAGACUCCUACGGGAGGCAGCAGUGGGGAAUAUUGCACAAUGGGCGCAAGCCUGAUGCAGCAACGCCGCGUGAGGGACGACGGCCUUCGGGUUGUAAACCUCUUUUAGCAGGGAAGAAGCGAAAGUGACGGUACCUGCAGAAAAAGCACCGGCUAACUACGUGCCAGCAGCCGCGGUAAUAC